rnacentral:rRNA from 1 species
UUGCCAGCCCGCUCAGAAACUCAAAGGAAUUGACGGGGCCGCACAAGCGGUGGAGCAUGUGGUUAAUUCGAUGAUACGCGAGGAACUUACCUGGGCUCAAAUGUAUGUUGACGUAUUCUGAAAGGGAUACUUCUUCGGACAAUAUACAAGGUGCUGCAUGGUUGUCGUCAGCUCGUGCCGUGAGGUGUCGGGUUAAGUCCCAUAACGAGCGCAACCCUAUCAUUAGUUGCCAUCAGGUCAAGCUGGGGACUCUAAUGAAACUGCCUACGCAAGUAGUGAGGAAGGUGGGGAUGACGUCAAGUCAUCAUGGCCCUUACGGCCUGGGCUACACACGUGCUACAAUGGUCGGUACAAAGGGUUGCCAAGCCGCGAGGUGGAGCUAAUCCCAUAAAACCGAUCGUAGUCCGGAUCGCAGUCUGCAACUCGACUGCGUGAAGUCGGAAUCGCUAGUAAUCGUGAAUCAGAAUGUCACGGUGAAUACGUUCCCGGGCCUU